rnacentral:rRNA from 1 species
AUAACCUGCCUCAAGGCUGGGGAUAACAUUUGGAAACAGAUGCUAAUACCGAAUAAAACUUAGUAUCGCAUGAUAUCAAGUUAAAAGGCGCUACGGCGUCACCUAGAGAUGGAUCCGCGGUGCAUUAGUUAGUUGGUGGGGUAAAGGCUUACCAAGACGAUGAUGCAUAGCCGAGUUGAGAGACUGAUCGGCCACAUUGGGACUGAGACACGGCCCAAACUCCUACGGGAGGCUGCAGUAGGGAAUCUUCCACAAUGGGCGCAAGCCUGAUGGAGCAACGCCGCGUGUGUGAUGAAGGCUUUCGGGUCGUAAAGCACUGUUGUAUGGGAAGAAAUGCUAAAAUAGGGAAUGAUUUUAGUUUGACGGUACCAUACCAGAAAGGGACGGCUAAAUACGUGCCAGCAGCCGCGGUAAUACGUAUGUCCCGAGCGUUAUCCGGAUUUAUUGGGCGUAAAGCGAGCGCAGACGGUUGAUUAAGUCUGAUGUGAAAGCCCGGAGCUCAACUCCGGAAUGGCAUUGGAAACUGGUUAACUUGAGUGUUGUAGAGGUAAGUGGAACUCCAUGUGUAGCGGUGGAAUGCGUAGAUAUAUGGAAGAACACCAGUGGCGAAGGCGGCUUACUGGACAACAACUGACGUUGAGGCUCGAAAGUGUGGGUAGCAAACAGGAUUAGAUACCCUGGUAGUCCACACCGUAAACGAUGAAUACUAGGUGUUAGGAGGUUUCCGCCUCUUAGUGCCGAAGCUAACGCAUUAAGUAUUCCGCCUGGGGAGUACGACCGCAAGGUUGAAACUCAAAGGAAUUGACGGGGACCCGCACAAGCGGUGGAGCAUGUGGUUUAAUUCGAAGCAACGCGAAGAACCUUACCAGGUCUUGACAUCCUUUGAAGCUUUUAGAGAUAGAAGUGUUCUCUUCGGAGACAAAGUGACAGGUGGUGCAUGGUCGUCGUCAGCUCGUGUCGUGAGAUGUUGGGUUAAGUCCCGCAACGAGCGCAACCCUUAUUGUUAGUUGCCAGCAUUCAGUUGGGCACUCUAGCCAAGACUGCCGGUGACAAACCGGAGGAAGGCGGGGACGACGUCAGAUCAUCAUGCCCCUUAUGACCUGGGCUACACACGUGCUACAAUGGCGUAUACAACGAGUUGCCAACCUGCGAAGGUGAGCUAAUCUCUUAAAGUACGUCUCAGUUCGGACUGCAGUCUGCAACUCGACUGCACGAAGUCGGAAUCGCUAGUAAUCGCGGAUCAGCACGCCGCGGUGAAUACGUUCCCGGGUCUUGUACACACCGCCCGUCACACCAUGGGAGUUUGUAAUGCCCAAA